rnacentral:rRNA from 1 species
AUACGUAGGUGGCAAGCGUUGUCCGGAAUUAUUGGGCGUAAAGCGCGCGCAGGCGGUCCUUUAAGUCUGAUGUGAAAGCCCACGGCUCAACCGUGGAGGGUCAUUGGAAACUGGAGGACUUGAGUGCAGAAGAGGAAAGUGGAAUUCCAAGUGUAGCGGUGAAAUGCGUAGAGAUUUGGAGGCACACCAGUGGCGAAGGCGACUUUCUGGUCUGUAACUGACGCUGAGGCGCGAAAGCGUGGGGAGCAAACAGGAUUAGAUACCCUGGUAGUCCACGCCGUAAACGAUGAGUGCUAAGUGUUAGGGGGUUUCCGCCCCUUAGUGCUGCAGCUAACGCAUUAAGCACUCCGCCUGGGGAGCACGGUCGCAAGACUGAAACUCAAAGGAAUUGACGGGG